rnacentral:rRNA from 1 species
CACGGGGGGAGCAAGCGUUGUUCGGAAUCACUGGGCGUAAAGGGCGUGUAGGCGGUCAAGUAAGUGGGAUGUGAAAUCCUUCGGCUUACCCGAAGGCCUGCAUCUCAAACUGCUUGGCUUGAGUAUGGGAGAGGAUGAGGGAAUUCCUGGUGUAGCGGUGAAAUGCGUAGAUAUCGAGGAGGAACACCGGUGGCGAAGGCGCUCAUCUGGCCCAAUACUGACGCUGAGGCGCGAAAGCUAGGGGAGCAAACGGG